UAAAAGUGGCGUACGGGUGAGUAACACGUGGAUAAUCUGCCUUUUAGUGGGGAAUACCGUUGGGAAACCGACGACAAUACCGCAUAAGCUCGAGAGAGGAAAGCAGCAAUGCGCUGAAAGAGGAGUCCGCGGUCGAUUAGUUAGUUGGCAGGGUAAAAGCCUACCAAGACUGUGAUCGGUAGCCGGCCUGAGAGGGCACACGGCCACACUGGCACUGAAACACGGGCCAG
rnacentral:rRNA from 1 species